rnacentral:rRNA from 1 species
GACGAACGCUGGCGGCGUGCUUAACACAUGCAAGUCGAACGGGUCUGCCCUGUUUUUUGCGGGGUGGGUCAGUGGCGAACGGGUGAGUAACACGUGAGUAACCUGCCCCUCACUUCUGGAUAACCGCUUGAAAGGGUGGCUAAUACGGGGUGUUCUGGCUGUGCCGCAUGGUGUGGCUGGGAAAGAUUCACUUUUGUGGUGUUUUGGUGGGGGAUGGGCUCGCGGCCUAUCAGCUUGUUGGUGGGGUGAUGGCCUGCCAAGGCUUUGACGGGUAGCCGGCAUGGGAGGGUGGGCGGUCACACUGGGACUGAGAUACGGCCCAGACUCCUGCGGGAGGCAGCAGUGGGGGGUAUUGCACAAUGGGCGGAAGCCUGAUGCAGCGACGUCGCGUGAGGGAUGGAGGCCUUCGGGUUGUGAACCUCUUUCGCCGGUGAAGAAGGUCCUGCUCUUUGUGGUGGGGUUGACGGUAGCCGGGUUAUGAAGCGCCGGCUAACUACGUG